GGGAAAGCUUAUUAUUUUUCUCUGUCUCUGACCAGAUUGUCAUAUCGACACCCAAGUACCCCCAAGGACCUCCAGGAUUUCUAAGCUCCUUUUGUGAGAGGAGCCUUGGAGCAGCUGCUUCCAGUCCAGUCCUCAGACUUUUCAAGUGUUCAUGUGUAAAGAAUUAUCAAGGUCUUUCUAGAGAAAGAGCAGGAGCAGACUGCUUAUCAAAGAUGCCAUGCCAGGCUCAGGGAGAGCUGUUCCCAGCCCGAGAGCAGGAAGAGCAGCUCAGGCAGCAGGUGGAAGAGCCACAGGAAAUGACCAGGACAUCAAGGCAGAGCCACAAGCAGAGCUGCCCGAAGCUCAGAGUGCCAUCAUGGCAGUGAAGAGAAAGAACAAGGAAGACAUGAGAAGAAUUCAAGAGGAGAUGAAUCUCCAUCAGCACAGGGGCGACCAACAAAACCAGGUGAGAGAAAGAAUGGCAGCCACUCCGCUCAUGAAACUUCCUCUCCAUUGCUGUUUACAGACCAUCAAGGAAGAUGUGCAGGCAGAGCUGCAGGAAUCUGAGGCUAGGAAAAAGGCAAGGAAGAAGAGGCUGGAAGAAGAAAUGAAAAUCAUCAGAGAGAAAGUUAAUCGCCUCCCUCAGGCUCUACAAA